rnacentral:lncRNA from 1 species
GGGAGAUUCUCCUGGGUUACCUGGCUGGGUCUGAUGUAAUCACAGGAGUCCUCAUUAGAGGGAAGCAGAAAGACCAAAGUCAGAGACGGAGAUGUGGCCGUAGAAGCAGAGGUCCAUGUGCUGCGGGGCCAUGAGCCAAGGAACCCACGCCGCCUCUGGGAACUGGGAAAGGCAAGGGAGCAACGUCUCCCUGGAGCUCCAGAGUGAGCCAGCCCUGAUGACACCGUGACUUCAGCCCUCGGAGACUGACUGUGGACAUCGGACCUCUGUCACUAUUUUCUGCAAACUAGGAAUAGAAGCAAGCUUCUUAACCUGAUGUAUCGCACCUUCAAAAAGCCUACAGCAAACAUCUUACUUAGUGAUGAAAAACUGAUUGCCUUCCCCAUAAGAUUGAGAACCAGGCAAGGAUGUUUACUCUCAUCACUCCUAUCCAACAUGGUACUGGAAGUCCUAGCCAAUACAAUAAGGGAAGAAAAUGACACAAAAUAAAGGUAGUAAGAUUAGAAAGAAAGAAAUUGUCUCUAUUCACAAACAAGGUGAUUUCUUUUCCUUUUUCUUCUUUUUUUUUUUAAGAGACAGGUUCCUUCUCUGUCACCCAGGCUUAAGUGCGAUCAUGGCUCAUUGUAUCCUCAAACUCCUGGGCACACACAAACAGUCCUCCUGCCUCAGCCUCCCAAGUAGCUAGGACUACCGGUGCAUGCUGCCAAGCCCAG